ensembl:snRNA U6 U6 spliceosomal RNA
GUACUCGCUUUGGCAACAUACAUACUAAAAUCUGAAUGAUACAGAGAAGAUUAGCAUAGCCUCUUCACAAGCAUAACAUAUAGAUUUGUAAAGCCUUCCAUAUUUUU